UCAACUACAAAAGACCAGACUUUUAUGUGAUUUUGUCCAGAUCGUUUUUUUACUGUGCUGAGUGGUUCACAGACACAGCAGGGACAAGCACUUUGGGCCAGGAGACCCUGGUAUAUGACUGAAUCACAGUACUUCAGGGUUUUUUUUUUUUUUUAAAUUAAAUAUUCAACUUCACUACAUUUAUUUUUUAUCACCAUUACAGAGUUAUCAUAAAAUAUGGAAGACUCUAACCAAUUAAAACCAUGUGAAAAUGUUAAAUAAUUCUAUUUCAAGGCCCAUUUAAAAUAAACCAGCUCCUGCUGAAGGUUUACACUUCAGGCACCAAAUGCUUAGUCAGCAGCAGUGUUGCCUGAAGCUGUGGAGACAGAUGAGCAUCCCUGACUCCAUUUAUCAGGUAUCUUAAGUUUUAAAUGCGUCAAGGAAACAGUGUAGAGAUAUUUCACAGCUCACCCACAGAAACAUGCACAGGUAAGCCAGUAGGUAGGUGAGACAGCUAGACUAGCUAGCCAGAUAUUUUGAUGUACUAUGUAUUACACAUAAGAUGUCACUUUGACAAUCGACUGCCUGUUGUGUUAUAUAUAUGUAUAAUUGCUGCUAUAGCCUAAUGUAUGAGGGUUGUUGUUUCUAGAUAGCUAACUAUGUAGCUAGAAACAUGUAUUAUUUUCAUGAACUAGGUGCCUAGCUAAGGAACCUACCAAGUUACUGAAACCCCAACAACAUUUGGCUAAGUUAGCUAGGCCGCUAACGUUACCUUUCUUUAUACACUGUUGCUAACCUAGGUGUCGUACACUUGGUGAGUUAACAUAAGAACAGAACAGAAAAGAGAACAUUUUCAGAUUAGUCAUGUCAGUUGUAGACAUAUGAAAAAGUUAUUUGCAAAUUAAUUACUGGAGGAGUUUUUCAACAGACCAAGUGUUUACUUUUCCCUGAGUAAUUUUCUCUAUCGCUACUUUUACUCAAGCGAAAUAUUACUAGAGAAGCAGAACCUUUAUUCAUGAGAGUGUUUUGUACGCUUUCCAACAUUGACGACUGCCCAAAACCUACACUUUGAUUUUCUGCCACUACCCCGCACCAAAACCAUAUUUGCCACCAAAACCCAAAGGUCUACCACACGAGUACCAAAACAUAUUAAAUUAAUAAGUUAAACUUGUCUUGCAAAUGAAAACUUGACCUGAGUAAUGUGUUUGUAGGCAGCAAGAGCAAAAAAGGGUCUCACUGCACUGCGGGUUGUUAUGAUCAUGUAGGCUGAAGUUGUGUAGUAUAUUAGGGAGAUGAACGGUUAUCAGAAUAAAUGGUUGCAAAACGGGGUGUUUGGUCAGAACAUAGGCAGGAAUAUACUUCAUUUUCUCUUUAAUGAAAUUUUGCAGGAAUGCUUACCGUAUGUUUGAUUGUACCAGUGUAGUAUUCUGCUGUUUUUACAUUUAUUCAUUUUUUAAAGUAAUAAAAUAUAAAAUAAUUAGAAUGUACUGUAUAGUACAAUAUCACUGAACAAUUUAAACAACAGAGAGUUGAAAGAUUCAUGUCUUAUUGAUGUGCUCAACCAAAUGAUGGGAUUCACUGGAAAAAGCCAGAACUUGGUAGUGAAGUCAGACUUUUGGAUAUCACCAUGUCUUACAUGCAGAAUAUCACUUGUGUACUAUUAUUUUAAAUUUUAGUUUCAGUGUAUUUUGUUCAAAUGAAAUGCUGAACCAGUGCUAUAUUUUGUUCGUUAUAUUCUUACAAUCCCAGCAGGAGAGCAACAGUUUCUCUAGGCAACAACAGUAUGGCAGUUGGCACUAUGAUGAUGUCAUGUCUGUCCGUGAUAUUGUUAGCACAUUUUGCUGCACCACAGGAAGCUGUAGCUGUGUGCUGCUGAAGGUCAAAGCUGUUCAACUCUCCCAGCAGCAAACGUCAGCAACCAGCACCUGGAUAACAUUUCAGAAAUCACUGACUGGAUUGAAAAUAACUCUUGGCUGGCAGCUAACCCACAACAAGCACUUACACACAAAAGCAUUUAUUUUCUCAUUCCAAUAAUUGACCCAAAAUUAUAUCACUCACAAAGGUUAAAGGAAUGUACAAGUGAAACGUUGCUUAGAUUAUGAUGCAUUUACACAACACACUGUGUUGUAUCUAUAGUAUACUGAAUAAAAAUGUGA